rnacentral:lncRNA from 10 species
AUUCUCCUGCCUCAGCGUCUGCCUCAGCGUCUGCCUCAGCCUCCCGAGUAGCUGGGACUACAGGCAGCCGCCGCUACGCCCCGCUAAUUUUUUGUAAUUUUUAGUAGAGACGGGGUUUCACUGUGUUGGCCAGGAUGAUCUCAAUCUCCUGUGUCUUUAACUCUUCUUAAUUCCCCACUGAUGACGAAAAUGAUAGAAAGCAAUAAACCAGAUUUGAAAUUCAGAGUGAAACAUCUAAGAUCGUCUGCAGUGCAGUGGCACGCUCUCUGCAACCUCUGUCUCCCGGGUUCAAACCAUUCUCCUGCCUCAAUCUCCAGAGUGGCUGAUAUUACAGGAUUCCACCACCAAACCCAGGUUUAUAUGUGCAACUUGACAUUCCAAACAAAUACUUCAAGUCAAAAUAUUCCAAGCCGAAAUUCCUUCCAAACAUGCAUUUCAGCCUGGUUAUCUCUUGGAAAAAAACCACACUUAUGUGAACUGCAUACUUAAUGGAGAUUCUGCAGAUCCAUCUGAAAUAUAAAGCUACAUGUGAAAGUCUGUAUAUUUUGGGAACAUAUAUAAAAACUCUAAAUCCCUGUUCUGGAGGAUGGCAAAAGUUGAAAAUUGGAGACAGAAUUAAAUUAUAAUGGUAACAGGACUAGUUAGAUGGUGGAAUUUUCAACCUGGCAAAUCUGCUUUUUCAAGACCAGUCUUCAUUUGGAAGGAGUAAUACACAGAGACUUGGGGAUCAGGUACUCCUGAGUGAUUCACACACACAAAAAGCUUUAAUUUCCGGAUUUUCCUGCAUCUGCGGGGCCCAUAAAAGUAUCCCAAGCUUCUCUGUUAAAGUGUAGCAUUCCCUCUUUCUUAAAUAUGAUUCAAAGACCUUGCAAGAUGGCACCAAAUCCAUUAUCUAUACUCACCUUCCUUUCUUCUAACCUGAGCCAUAAAUAAGAUUAGUCACAAAACAUCCUACCAAGAAAAGUAUUAUGCCUAUUAAAAGAAGAAAGGAACUAUACCCGGAAGAUGCUACAAGAGAAUUACGGGCCUGGAUCUUGACAUACUGAUCAAGAGGAGUAAAACAGAAGGUUUGAUAACAAAGCGUUCAUCCAUAUGUGAGCAUACUCCCACAGUACAAGAGUUAGCACCUUGACAAGCAACCCAAGGAAAGGUGUUAAUUGCUGUUAGAAUAGCUUUUAGAACUUUGGAUAAUGUGAUGGGCUACACUAGGAAAUUAGAAAUCUAGAAUGACUAAGUAGGUGGUGAAAGGAGAAAAAAAAAAGCUCAGAAAAUUGAAUGUGCUAGAGUAGGUGUACUAUAUAAGGACUAAAAUCAAUCAAACAAACAAAAAACACCCGUCCACUAUGUUCUGUGGUAGGGCUUGAAAGUCACUUUUUAUCAAGGCAAUAAAAAAUAUGAUGAGGGUGACCUUGAUGCCAUUUAAAGUGUCAUAUGGUGACUGUCUUCUGUAGACUAGAGCUUGUGGUAGGAGAUGCUAUUACAGACAAAAGAUUCUUUACAUCAAAGUAUCUAAUAAGAUUCUGCAGUAAUGGAGGACAGGGAGCAAUGCUUAACCAUCUUAAAUAAGGUGGAUACAAUUAUAAAAUCCGUGACAAAAGUCAGAGUGGCAGCAAAUUUGACUUGAACCUCAGAGAGUUAUGGGAUCGUUAAUCAAAGAUGAUGUUCUUAGGGUCAAGGAAGACUGGAAGCUAUCAAGAAUGCUCAAUCCAUGGGAAUCAAGAACAAUCAAAGCUGAAUCUGACAAUCUUCGCCAGAUUCUGGACUUCAGUCUACAUUAUUUCCAGGGAUCUAUUGAUUAAAGGAAAAGUUAAGACUCCAAAAGGAACAAACCUGAAACAUGCAUCAAUCUCAAAGUGACCUAGAGUCAUUGACUUUGGUAAUUGGUGAAUAUCCAGACAUUUUGAGACCUGUUGCACCCCAAAUUUAAUUAUGAUCACUGUAGAAGUAUGACUAUCAUGAGAACAGAUAAUAAAUAAAUUCCUAGACCAGAUCUUAUUAUUCCCAACUGAGAAAUCUAUGAUUAGAAUUACAUUCUUGGUAGUUGACAGAACAUGUCCCCAGCUCUGCACGCACAAACACACACACACAGAGACACACACACAUACACAACAUGCACUGUUUCCUUGGAGAGUGAGUUAAGUCUAUAAUAGUGGGAAAAGUCAACUGGAAGGCUCUGAACUGAUUCCCCCAUCAUGAAUGUUAUACGAUAAAAUUGUAAAAUAAAAAUAUUACAUCCAAGAGAGAUGACAGACAUUAUUACCUACUUUAAUGACCUAAAAUAUCAACAGUUAGUAGUACCCUAAUUUCUCCAUGUAAUUCAUCACUGUAACUUUUCCAAAAUUGAUACAUUGUCUAGAUGAUGAAAGUAGAGUACCACAGACUCAAGCAAAGGGAAGCUUUAAGUGCAAAUGUUGUGCAGCAAGCUAUAUUUGAGAAAGCACAUUAACAGGAUCUCUGGUACAAUGUGUGCUGUUUGUAAUCUGUCAAAUGCCUUAUUUUCCAUCCCUAUCAGGAAUAAAGAUAAGACAAUUUAAACAUUAAGUGG